AACGAACGCUGGCGGCAGGCCUAACACAUGCAAGUCGAACGCCGUAGCAAUACGGAGUGGCAGACGGGUGAGUAACGCGUGGGAACAUACCCCUCGGUUCGGAAUAACUUAGGGAAACUUGAGCUAAUACCGGAUACGUCCGAGGUUUUAACCGGCCUCGGAGAAAGAUUUAUCGCCGGAGGAUUGGCCCGCGUCUGAUUAGCUUGUUGGUGAGGUAAUGGCUCACCAAGGCGACGAUCAGUAGCNGGUCUGAGAGGAUGAUCAGCCACACGU
rnacentral:rRNA from 1 species